UACGUAGGGUGCAAGCGUUAAUCGGAAUUACUGGGCGUAAAGCGUGCGCAGGCGGUUUUGUAAGUCUGUCGUGAAAUCCCCGGGCUCAACCUGGGAACUGCGUUUGAAACUACAAGGCUAGAGUGUAGCAGAGGGGGGUAGAAUUCCACGUGUAGCAGUGAAAUGCGUAGAGAUGUGGAGGAAUACCAAUGGCGAAGGCAGCCCCCUGGGUUAACACUGACGCUCAUGCACGAAAGCGUGGGGAGCAAACAGG
rnacentral:rRNA from 1 species